CUGACAGCCCUGGAAAUUGCAGUCCUAUAUAUAGCCACAGUACAGGUACAGCAUGGACAGCAUUAUCGUAAGCUUUCUCACACUGUUCUCUGCCAAUUAGCCUCAGUGCUUGAAAUGAAUGCAUCUUUUGUGUGUGUCUUUGUUCUUUAUGGGCCAUAGUUUCAGCUGGUGUCAAGCAACGUAGCGCCA
rnacentral:sRNA from 1 species